GCCGUGCGCGCAUGCGCUACUUGCACGCUAUGACGUCAACCAUCGCGCGAACAUUCCCGUUUGACGUCGCCAUUGCUGAAUUGGAUCAAGAGAAUACUGGCUACUGGAAGAAGUCACUACGCAACAGAUUCAGGAAUUGCAGGAAAUGUCAUGAACGUGAUAAUCCAUUAGGACAAAUGGAAGCAAAGAAAGGGGACUACACCCAAACCAGACAAAGCUGCAGGCAAACACAUGUAUGGCAUAAAGAAAGUACCUUCCUGCAUCCCCAGAAAGUGAGGAUGAAGAAACGAUCAAUGCUCACAUCAAGAUGCUUCAGAAUGAAUCCAGAAAAACAAGACAGGACAGCUUGAUGAUAGACAAUCUACUAACUUAUGCCCAUAAGCGCAAGGGUAUCAUCAACAGCAACUGGACUGAAUCCUACUUGAAGGAUAUGUACCCUUACCUUUUCCAUGAAGAUGAGAGUUUGAGAGACUGUCAGAGGACCCAACUAAGCAGAAGUUGGAAGCAGGACAUUUGAAUAUGCUGAUCCAUUACUAGAGAUAUGCAAGACUCCCAAGCAAGGUUUGGAGCUCAAAAACCUGAUCUUGGCUGCAGCAGCAGAAAAUGAAGACACCAGGAAAAUGAUCAAAUCAUGUGGAGCACUUCUGUUGAUUCCUACUAUUUUUGGAGAGAAGGCAUUGCUUUGUCAGCAUAGCCAGGAUAAAAAACGGACCAAUCGCCAAAAUCAUCUACAAAAGUAAGCCCGACAGUGCAGGUCUGACUCUGAGCAGUGAUCAUGAAAAAUUCACGGAAAUUCUGCAAUCAUCCUAUAUUACAGCAGAGAAUGAAGUCAUCUGCGAGAAAACCACCUACCUCAUGUCAGCAGUCUCUCUGCUUAUGUCGGCCCAUUAUGUAUUCAACUGAUCAUACACCCCCAAGAUGGGUAACACCCUCACAUUCAUUCAGAAGAUUCUGAUGAACAUAGAUUCCACAUCUCAACCCUCAUCCAAGGUCGUAAGAAGCCUGUAUGACUUAAAUGCUGUCCGAAAUGCUGAUGCCAGUAGUUCUUCAGUUUAAUAGAAAUUAAUUACUUGGGUGAUGCUACUGCAACACAGCUGAUCACACUUUCUCUACGUGCAAUCACCUUAGGUGUUGUAUCUGUCUUUUAUGUGCAAAAUAGAUUGAAAUAGAUACGACAGGUUGACCGUGAAUUUAGACAUCAAGUAUGUGCAUUAUUUCGCUUUGCUUCAGUACAAUUUCAGUGGCCCUUGAAUUGGAAAUCUUUUCAUAUCCCAAGAAUUACGUAUAAAUGCUUAAUGAAAUUUUUGUCACAGAUAAAAUAGGAUUUU